rnacentral:rRNA from 1 species
AUACAUGCAAGUCGAGCGGACCUCUUCGGAGGUCAGCGGCGGACGGGUGAGUAACACGUGGGCAACCUGCCUGUAAGACUGGGAUAACUCCGGGAAACCGGAGCUAAUACCGGAUAACCUUUUGAACCGCAUGGUUCAAAAUUGAAAGACGGUUAUGCUGUCACUUACAGAUGGGCCCGCGGCGCAUUAGCUAGUUGGUGAGGUAAUGGCUCACCAAGGCGACGAUGCGUAGCCGACCUGAGAGGGUGAUCGGCCACACUGGGACUGAGACACGGCCCAGACUCCUACGGGAGGCAGCAGUAGGGAAUCUUCCGCAAUGGACGAAAGUCUGACGGAGCAACGCCGCGUGAGUGAUGAAGGUUUUCGGAUCGUAAAGCUCUGUUGUCAGGGAAGAACAAGUGCGGGAGUCACUGCCCGUGCCUUGACGGUACCUGACCAGAAAGCCACGGCUAACUACGUGCCAGCAGCCGCGGUAAUACGUAGGUGGCAAGCGUUGUCCGGAAUUAUUGGGCGUAAAGCGCGCGCAGGCGGUCUUUUAAGUCUGAUGUGAAAGCCCCCGGCUCAACCGGGGAGGGUCAUUGGAAACUGGAGGACUUGAGUGCAGAAGAGGAGAGU